UUAAGCAUAUCAGUAAGCAGAGGAAAAGAAAACAACUGUGAUUCCCUUAGUAACUGCGAGUGAAGCGGGAAAAGCCCAUCGUUUAAUCUUCCUGGACCAUGGACAGGACGAAAUGUAACGGUAUGGAUAGGUUUUCUACCAACAAAGUCUGGUCAAAGUCCUCCGGAUUGAGGUGCCAAAGAGGGUGACAGCCCCGUGUGUGAUCAGACUUGAUAUGUUGGGUAUGUGACCGAUUCCGAGAGUCGGGUUGUUUGGGACUGCAACCUAAAGUAGGUGGUAAACUCCACCCAAGGCUAAAUAUUGACACGAAACCGAUAGCGAACAAGUACUGUGAAGGAAAGUUGAAAAGAACUCUGAAAAGAGAGUUAAAAGUACGUGAAACCGCUAACGGGGAAGCGGAAGGCAGUGUCGAGAUUGAGUGAGUGAGUCGGCUCAAACUCAUUUCAAAUGAGAUUGUGUGUUGAGUGGAAUGUGAGUUUGAGUAGGCUAGCUUUGCUUGAUGCGUCAGGGCUAUUGGCACUAAAGAGGUUAAAUGGCCAGCAGUUUUGGCUUUCACAGCCAAUGAUUUAUUGUUGGCGUGGAUGCGGCUGGUCAUCCGUCUCUUGUGCUGAUAUGUGUGUGUGGAAGCGUUGGUGAUGUAUUGUCGGUUGGUGUCGUGUGGUGGUUCGUUCUGGUCACAGUGUGGCUACGUGCGGACAAGUCAUGUGGUAGUUCAACAACCAAUGCUAGAUCCUGGCGUGAUACCCAACUUUCCGACCCGUCUUGAAACACGGACCAAGGAGGCAGAAUCUAUAGCGAGUUGGAGGGUGGAAAACCCGACGGCGCAGUGAAAGCGAGAGAUGAGAACUGGGGGCCUCGGCUCUCAGUGCAUCAUCGGCCAGUCAUCAUUUGGGUGAUUGAGUUUGAGCUUUAGAUGCUGGACCCGAAAGAUGGUGAACUAUGCGUGAGCAGGGUGAAGCCAGAGGAAACUCUGGUGGAGGCUCGAAGCGAUUCUGACGUGCAAAUCGAUCGUUAGACUUGCGUAUAGGGGCGAUAGACUAAUCGAACCAUCUAGUAGCUGGUUCCCUUCGAAAUAUCCCUCAGGAUCGCUGAGACAAGUGGGAGACAGUUUCAUCGGGUAGAGCGAAUGAUUAGAGGAAUCGGGGAUAUAUUACUCUCGACCUAUUCUCAAACUUCCAACCGGUGAGAGUGCUGUUUGCUUGAUUAUUUUUGAAAUGGCACGAGGAAUGUUUUUGUCUCAAGUGGGCCAUUUUUGGUAAGCAGAACUGGCGAUGCGGGAUGAACCGAGAGUUGAGCUAAGGUGCCUAAGGACACGUUGAUAGAUACCACAAAAGGAGUCGGUCGAUAAAGACAGCAGGACGGUGGCCCUGAAAGUAGGAAUCCGCUAAGGAAUUGUCUAAAAACUCACCUGCCGAAUCGACCGGCCCUGAAAAUGGAUGGCGCUGAAGCGUGUCACCGAUGCUCGACCUCUACCACGAGAGAUGAUGGUAGGGGGUAGAAGGGCGCGGCGGUAGCGAAAAAGUACAAAGUGUAAACUUGUAUGGAGCUGCCGUCGGUGUAGAUCUUGGUGGUAGUAGCAAUUAUAAAAGUGAAAACCUUUUAGGCCGAAGUGGAGAAGGGUUCCACGUGAACAGCAGUUGGACGUGGGUUAGUCGGUCCUAAGCGGAAGCCUAACGGUAUUUUAAAGCCAACUUUUACUUAUUUCGCAAGGGGUGAUUGAGAGUUGGAAUCCGCGAAAGGGAAUCAGGUUAAUAUUCCUGAACCGGGCAAUGGAGACGCUGCUCUUUUAUUGUUUGUUGAUUUGAUUGAGUUGGUGAAUAAUAGAGAGCAGCUUAGCGGUAACGCAAGCAAUCUCGGAGACGUUGACAUCUAUGGCGGGGAGAAUUAUCUUUUCUGCAUAACAGGCAAACAACCUUGGAAUCGAGUCGUUCGGAGAUAAGGUAAAAAGCCUGGAAGAGCACCGCAACUAUUGCAGUGUCCGCAGUGUAGGUGUCGGCCCUUGAAAAUCCGAGGGAGUGGAUAAAUUUCAUGCCCGUCCGUACCGAAUCCGCAUCAGGUCUCCUAGGUGAGCAGCCUCUGGCACUGGAACAAUGUAGGUAAGGGAAGUCGGCAAAAUAGAUCCGUAACUUUGGGAAAAGGAUUGGCUCUAAGGACCGGGCCAAUCGAGCUAGUAUUGCCUAGGCUAGUGGGGGUUUGACUGGGGUUGUCUUGUGAUGCUCUAUCGUCAAAAAGUAGAGUGUUAUUGAGGCACACUUUGGUUAUUUCAACGCUGGCCAUGGAAUGCCGGCGUGAGUUUUGUUGUGUUGAGUAAAUGUCAAAAGUUUGUUCGAUAUGGCGAGCUUCUUUACGAGUGGCAAGCAUCGGUCAGCUUAGAACUGUUACCAACUUGGGGAAUCCGACUGUUUAAUUAAAACAAAGCAUUGCGAUGGCCCUAAUGGGUGUUGACGCAAUGUGAUUU
rnacentral:rRNA from 1 species